CCUACGGUGGGCAGCAGUCGGGAAUAUUGCGCAAUGGAGGAAACUCUGACGCAGUGACGCCGCGUAUAGGAAGAAGGUUUUCGGAUUGUAAACUAUUGUCGUUAGGGAAGAUAAAAGACUGUACCUAAGGAGGAAGCCCCGGCUAACUAUGUGCCAGCAGCCGCGGUAAUACAUAGGGGGCAAGCGUUGUCCGGAAUCAUUGGGCGUAAAGAGUUCGUAGGCGGCACGUAAAGUCUGGUGUUAAAGGCAGAGGCUCAACUUCUGUACGGCACUGGAUACUUGCGAGCUAGAAUGCGGUAGAGGUAAAGGGAAUUCCUGGUGUAGCGGUGAAAUGCUUAGAUAUCAGGAGGAACAUCGGUGGCGUAAGCGCUUUACUGGGCCGUAAUUGACGCUGAGGAACGAAAGCCAGGGUAGCAAAUGGGAGUAGAUACCCGGGUAGUC
rnacentral:rRNA from 1 species